GCAACCGUAGCUCAGCUGGAUAGAGCGCUGCCCUCCGAAGGCAGAGGCCGUGGGUUCGAAUCCCACCGGCUGCACCA
rnacentral:tRNA from 1 species